rnacentral:rRNA from 1 species
UACGUAGGGGGCAAGCGUUGUCCGGAUUCAUUGGGCGUAAAGAGCGUGUAGGCGGCCAGGUAGGUCGGUUGUGAAAACUGGAGGCUCAACCUUCAGAGGUCGACCGAAACCAUCUGGCUAGAGUCCGGGAGAGGAGAGUGGAAUUCCAGGUGUAGCGGUGAAAUGCGCAGAUAUCAGGAAGAACACCCGUGGCGAAAGCGGCUCUCUGGAACGGUACUGACGCUGAGACGCGAAAGCGUGGGGAGCGAACAGG